GUGCUUCAGCAGUACACACACAAAAACUGGAACAAUACAGAGAAGAUUAUCUCAGUCCUUGUGCGAGGAAGACAUGCAAAGAACCAUAUGAAUGCACAAAACUG